rnacentral:rRNA from 1 species
CUAAUAGCGUAUAUUAAAGUUGUUGCAGUUAAAAAGCUCGUAGUUGAACUUCGGGGUCUACCCAUUGGUCAGGCUUAAUUGUCUGCACUGGUGAGAUGGAUCUCUACCUUCUGAGGAACUUUCAUGCCAUUUAUUUGGUGUGAUUGGAAAUCAGGACUGUUACUUUGAAAAAAUUAGAGUGUUUAAAGCAGACUAUCGUCUGAAUACAUUAGCAUGGAAUAAUGAAAUAGGACGGACUGAUUCUAUUUCGUUGGUUUCUAGGAUCACCGUAAUGAUUAAUAGGGAUAGGUGGGGGCAUUAGUAUUCAAUUGUCAGAGGUGAAAUUCGUGGAUUUAUUGAAGACUAACUACUGCGAAAGCAUUUGCCAAGGAUGUUUUCAUUAAUCAAGAACGAAAGUUAGGGGAUCGAAGACGAUCAGAUACCGUCGUAGUCUUAACCAUAAACUAUGCCGACUAGGGAUCGGACGAAGUUAAUUUUAUAAUGACGCGUUCGGCACCUUACG